rnacentral:rRNA from 1 species
GUCUUUAGGGACGAUAAUGACGGUACCUAACAAGAAAGCACCGGCUAACUACGUGCCAGCAGCCGCGGUAAAACGUAGGGUGCAAGCGUUGUCCGGAAUUACUGGGUGUAAAGGGAGCGCACGCGGACCGGCAAGUUGGAAGUGAAAACUAUGGGCUCAACCCAUAAAUUGCUUUCAAAACUGCUGGCCUUGAGUAGUGCAGAGGUAGGUGGAAUUCCCGGUGUAGCGGUGGAAUGCGUAGAUAUCGGGAGGAACACCAGUGGCGAAGGCGACCUACUGGGCACCAACUGACGCUGAGGCUCGAAAGCAUGGGUAGCAAACAGGAUUAGAUACCCUGGUAGUCCAUGCCGUAAACGAUGAUUACUAGGUGUUGGAGGAUUGACCCCUUCAGUGCCGCAGUUAACACAAUAAGUAAUCCACCUGGGGAGUACGACCGCAAGGUUGAAACUCAAAGGAAUUGACGGGGGCCC